CCUACGGGAGGCUGCAGUGAGGAAUAUUGGUCAAUGGUCGUGAGACUGAACCAGCCAAGUAGCGUGCAGGAAGACGGCCCUAUGGAUUGUAAACUUCUUUUGUCCGGGGGUAAAAGGCGCCACGCGUGGCGUUUCGUGAGUACCCGAAGAAUAAGCAUCGGCUAAUUCCGUGCCAGCAGCCGCGGUAAUACGGAGGAUGCGAGCGUUAUCCGGAUUUAUUGGGUUUAAAGGGUGCGUAGGCGGAAGAUUAAGUCAGCGGUAAAAUGGCGUGGCUCAACCGCGCCACGGAGUCGAAACUGGGUGCCUUGAGUGCACGACAGGCAGGCGGAAGUCGUGGUGUAGCGGUGAAAUGCAUAGAUAUCACGAAGAACCCCGAUUGCGAAGGCAGCCUGCGGGGGUGCGACUGACGCUGAGGCUCGAAGGUGCGGGUAUCGAACAGGAUUAGAUACCCUUGUAGUC
rnacentral:rRNA from 1 species